UACGUAGGGUGCAAGCGUUUGUCCGGAAUUAUUGGGCGUAAAGAGCUCGUAGGCGGUUUGUCGCGUCUGCUGUGAAAACGCGAGGCUCAACCUCGCGCCUGCAGUCGAUACGGGCGGACUCGAGUUCGGCAGGGGAGACUGGAAUUCCUGGAUGUAGCGGUGGAAAUGACGCAGAUAUCAGGAGGAACACCGGUGGCGAAGGCGGGUCUCUGGGCCGAUACUGACGCUGAGGAGCGAAAGCGUGGGGAGCGAACAGG
rnacentral:rRNA from 1 species